AUAUGCUUUUCAUUACCGCACAGAAAUAAAGUCAAGAGUCAAACCAAUGCUCAAUAAGACAUUCAGUGCAAAUGAAAGUCGUCAACAGACAAGUCCACGUUUUUGUUGUAUAGUUUAAAAAUAACAUUGAGCUAUUUUUCCUGGUGUAAUAAUUGGGUGAGCUACUUUGUUAACAGCGAAUAUCUAAACAAACGCAAACUAUCACAACUCUGAGGUAACGUUGAGUUAACGUUAUAUGUAGUGCAGUAUAAAAUAUUGUGUGAAUAUUAAAUAUAUGAUUGUGAGUGAAUACAGCUAACAUCUCAAUUACGUUUGAUGAAGUUGCACUGUAUUCUAUUUUAGUCAUACACUCAUAAUUUUCAUUUUCGGUCCACAAAAGGGAAAGUUUUUCAUUGUGAAACCCAGUCACCAUCAUUCAGCUUGAGUUAUGGCAAUGUUGAGCAGCAAAUCCAACGAGGACAUCAGAUUAAUGCUGGAUGAUUAUGGAAUAAAACACGGUCCUGUGGUCGAUUCCACCAGAGCUCUUUAUGAGAAGAAGCUGAGAGAAGCCAUUGCUAAAAGCAAAAAGCCUCAACCUCAAUCUGACAGGACAUAUUACAGGGAGGAAGAGGAUGUCACUUACAUUCAUCAUCGCAGACCUCAACAAUACGGUGAUGUAAGUGACAGAACUUGGACAGAUUAUAGAGCGAUGGACUACGUAGAUGAGCCUGUCGUAUAUCGGACUCAAUCGUCUUACCGUAAUAUUUCAAGAAGCACACCUGCGGAGCCUCAAACGCAGAAAACACCAGAAAAUAGUUCAACGCGUUUGGUCCCAAUUUGGCUUCAGAUAUUAGUGUUUGUGAUUGUGUCUGCUCUCCUGUACUUGGUUUUUAUAAAUAUGGAACCAGCAGGUCCUGUCAAAAGACUGACAUAGGGUUUCCUUUAGUGAUCUUAUCAAACCGAACUUUCAUUUUUAUUUUAAACAAGCAUUGAUUCAAUACACUGGGUGUGAUAUGCGACAUCUUGCAAUGCGUUUUUAACUUGCCGUGUGUGUGUUUUAUCAAAAUAAUAACCCAUUGUUAAUCUAUCGCAAAUAUGGAGGAAGUGGGUGUUUCAGGAUGCACCUGUUGGGUUAUUUUCAGGAUAUUACAGUGUUGAGGUAUAUUUAACUGUUCUGUAAUUUUUUGUAAUUUCUCAGUCUCAUGUGACAGUAACUGAAAAACAUUUUGUAGGAUUUUCAUAAACCCAUUUCAUUGGUUACAGUCACUGGAUUUGGUCUUCAUUGUUUUACAAUGGUCAGUAAGCUGUUUUUUCAUUGGAAAUAUCAGACGUAUUGUAGCUCAUGCAUUUGAAAUCUUGGAGCCAAAUUAUAUGAAUGUAAUAACUGCUUCUUUGUUGUGUUCUGUGAUUAUUGUUUGAGGUGUUCUGGAGUUUUCUUUCAAUAGAAACUAUUUUUUUAUACAAGUAAAAAAAAACAAUAUUUUAAACUUGGA